UACGAAGGGGGCUAGCGUUGCUCGGAAUCACUGGGCGUAAAGCGCACGUAGGCGGACUCUUAAGUCAGGGGUGAAAUCCUGGAGCUCAACUCCAGAACUGCCUUUGAUACUGGGAGUCUUGAGUUCGGGAGAGGUGAGUGGAACUGCGAGUGUAGAGGUGAAAUUCGUAGAUAUUCGGAAGAACACCAGUGGCGAAGGCGACUUACUGGACGACUGUUGACGCUGAGGUGCGAAAGCGUGGGGAGCAAACAGG
rnacentral:rRNA from 1 species